rnacentral:rRNA from 1 species
CACGUAGGGCGCAAGCGUUGUCCGGAAUUAUUGGGCGUAAAGAGCUCGUAGGCGGUCUGUCGCGUCGGUCGUGAAAACUUGGGGCUUAACCCUGAGCUUGCGGUCGAUACGGGCAUGACUGGAGUUCGGCAGGGGAGACUGGAAUUCCUGGUGUAGCGGUGAAAUGCGCAGAUAUCGGGAAGAACACCUAUGGCGAAGGCAGCUCUCUGGGACGGUACUGACGCUGAGACGCGAAAGCGUGGGGGAGCAAACAGG